rnacentral:misc_RNA from 1 species
UCUCCGUAGGUGAACCUGCGGAGGGAUCAUUACAGAGUUCAUGCCCUACCGGGUAGAUCUCCCACCCUACGUUUUUAUUACUUUGUUGCUUUGGCGGCCCGUUAGGCUCCCGCCCGACCUCCGGCCCCGACUGCCUGGCGCCCGCCAGACGCCCCGAAACCUUUAAUGUCAGAUUCGCCUGUGUACUAUAUAAAAUUUAAAACAUUCAACAACGGAUCUCUUGGUUCGUGCAUGGACGCAGAAGGCAGCAGAACGGAAGAGCACACGUCCGGACACCAA